rnacentral:ribozyme from 1 species
GUGAUGAGUUUUUCACAGAAAGUCUUUUAUUUUGAAAAAUAAUAGACCAGGAAAAGAAUGUGAAUGUUCUACCGCACUGCGGCCUACAGAACACUAACUACCGUACCCUAAACCGACACAGGUUCGUUGGUAGAGAAUACUCAGGCGUAGAGAUAAUGCUUGUAAAGGAACUCGGCAAGUUGUCCUGCUGAGCGUUUUGGGAAGACGCUCGCGUGGGUGAAACUAUCAAACUCCGGGGACACCCUAAAGCAUAUGGUACCAAGCUAUAGUCGAAAGGCUAUAAGUGGCUGGAGUAAUUACCCAGGUACGGUAACAAGCCAUAUGAUGAAUGAAAAUGAAAUGGGUUAUCGCGGAUCUAAGUCAAAUUUUCAUAAAUUUGUAAAAGAGCAACGAGUAGACGGUAGUUAUUGCAUCAACUUGAUGCAAUUAAGGUGUACUCUAAUGGGUUUCGAAAGAAAUUA